rnacentral:sRNA from 1 species
CACACCAACCUGUCACACCGGUGCCUGUCACACCACUGCCUGUCACACUGACUUGUCACACUGGUGCCUGUCACACCAACCUGUCACACCGGUGCCUGUCACACCGGUGCCUGUCACACUGACCUGUCACACCGGUGUCUGUCACACUGACCUGUCACACCGGUAGGAAUGCAGUACCCACAUGUGGACGUUUCUGGGCAGGGUGGCUCUUGUCUUUCCUCUUCACCCUGGGCCUGUGCCUGGGGGUUGAGAGUGAGCAUUUAUUUAAAAAGCAAAACCACAGGUGAAAAGAGUCACCAAGACAGCUUCUCGGAGUCACAGACCUGGGAUGCAGCCGUGGGGCUCUUGGGUCUGGGCUGCGACGUUCAGGGCUUCCAGCCAGCCCUCGCCUUGAGGUUCUUUGCCUCGCUGCCUCAUGUACUCAUGCAGAGGGUGUCGGACCCCUGCGAGAUGUACAGCUCACCCUGGCUGCCCACGGUGGGCAGGGCAGGCCUGGCUCAGCCCCAGCCCCUCCAUCUUCCAGGGGUGUCAGCUCACACCGGCUUUGGUUCUGUCCCCCUUCGGGCAGCGUGGAGAAACCACAGCCCAGAACAGGGAACUUUCCAGGACAGCCAUCUUCAAGGCAUCCAUAUCUAUUUCAUAAUAGUGUAUACUUUUUAAUGAUUCUCUGUAAUUUUUGUAUGCUUGAAAUAUUUCAUAAUUUAAAAAUAAAGGGUCAAGAGAAAUGAGCAGGGAAGGAGAUGAUGGGGACCCCCGAGGAGCCCUGUGGGAAGCAGCUGCUGCAAGCCCGCCCUUCACCUGGGAGUCCCAGUGGGGCAGGUGUGACAGCCUCUGGGGUCUCAGCAGCUAGAGGCAGGGUGGCCACUCCCGAGGCACAGGAGGGACAGUGGACCCGCUGCAUGGCCGGGGCGUGGGGCUCAGGGGAGCAGGAGUGAAGGCCACAUCCCCGACCGGCGUGGCCCCCAUCCGUGGCAGGACAUCUUGCCGUGCGUGCCCUUCAGCGUGGCCAAGAGUGUGAAGUCCUUGUACCUGGGCCGGAUGUUCAGUGGGACCCCCGUGAUCCGACUGCGCUUCAAGAGGCUGCAGCCCACCAGGCUCGUAGCUGAGUUUGACUUCCGGACCUUUGACCCCGAGGGCAUCCUCCUCUUCGCCGGAGGCCACCAGGACAGCACCUGGAUCGUGCUGGCCCUGAGAGCCGGCCGGCUGGAGCUGCAGCUGCGCUACAACGGUGUCGGCCGUGUCACCAGCAGCGGCCCGGUCAUCAACCAUGGCAUGUGGCAGACAAUCUCUGUUGAGGAGCUGGCGCGGAAUCUGGUCAUCAAGGUCAACAAGGACGCUGUCAUGAAAAUCGCGGUGGCCGGGGACUUGUUCCAACCGGAGCGAGGACUGUAUCAUCUGAACCUCACCGUGGGAGGUAUUCCCUUCCAUGAGAAGGACCUCGUGCAGCCUAUAAACCCUCGUCUGGAUGGCUGCAUGAGGAGCUGGAACUGGCUGAACGGAGAAGACACCACCAUCCAGGAAACAGUGAAAGCGAACACGAGGAUGCAGUGCUUCUCGGUGACGGAGAGAGGCUCUUUCUACCCCGGGAGCGGCUUUGCCUUCUACAGCCUGGACUACAUGCGGACCCCUCUGGACAUCGGGACUGAAUCAACCUGGGAAAUAGAAGUCGUGGCUCACAUCCGCCCAGCCGCAGACACGGGCGUGCUGUUCGCGCUCUGGGUCCCCGACCUCCGUGCUGUGCCUCUCUCUGUGGCCCUGGUAGACUAUCACUCCACGAAGAAACUCAAGAAGCAGCUGGUGGUCCUGGCCGUGGAGCACGUGGCCUUGGCCCUAAUGGAGAUCAAGGUCUGCGAUGGCCAAGAGCACGUGGUCACCGUCUCGCUGAGGGACGGUGAGGCCACCCUGGAGGUGGACGGCACCAGGGGCCAGAGCGAGGUGAGCGCCACGCAGCUGCAGGAGAGGCUGGCCGUGCUCGAGAGGCACCUGCGGAGCCCCGUGCUCACCUUUGCCGGCGGCCUGCCAGAUGUGCCGGUGACUUCAGCGCCAGUCACCGCAUUCUACCGCGGCUGCAUGACACUGGAGGUCAACCGGAGGCUGCUGGACCUGGACGAGGCGGCGUACAAGCACAGCGACAUCACGGCCCACUCCUGCCCCCCCGUGGAGCCCGCCGCAGCCUAGGCCCCCACGGGACGCGGCAGGCUUCUCAGUCUCUGUCCAAAACAGCCGGGAGGAGCCUGGGGGCUCCUCACCACGUGGGGCCAUGCUGAGAGCUGGGCUUUCCUCUGUGACCAUCCCGGCCUGUAACAUAUCUGUAAAUAGUGAGAUGGACUUGGGGCCUCUGACGCCGCGCACUCAGCCGUGGGCCCAGGCACGGGGAGGCCGGCGCAGCGCAGAGCGGGCUCGAAGAAAAUAAUUCUCUAUUAUUUUUAUUACCAAGCGCUUCUUUCUGACUCUAAAGUAUGGAAAAUAAAAUAUUUACAGAAAGCUUUGUAA